CAAGCCGCGCAGGCGACCCUCUCGAGGGCCGCCUCGCAUUUUUACAAGGUUGACCUCGGAUCAGGUAGGAUUACCCGCUGAACUUAAGCAUAUCAAUAAGCGGAGGAAAAGAAACCAACAGGGAUUGCCCCAGUAACGGCGAGUGAAGCGGCAACAGCUCAAAUUUGAAAUCUGGCCCUCGGGUCC
rnacentral:rRNA from 1 species